ACAAAAAUUAGGGUUUCUGUGUCUUGUCGCAGUUUGAUUUGGGUAUUCUUCUCCGACCACCGCCGCACACAAGUUAGUUUUCUUCUGUAUCUGUUCCUUGUUCAAUUGCCUUUUUCGUUUUUGAUAUUUGUUACUGUUAAUCGUUGUGUUGUUCUGUUAGAAUGAUGUUUUCUGUUGAAAUUGUAGUGUUUAAAUUUAUGCUGUUGCAGUGAAUGUUUAUUAAGUCAUAUGUUGAAAAUACGAUUCAUAUAAUCAGUAAUUCGGAAAUUGGUCAGAUCAAUGUGUUUUUCUCUCCUGUGACCUAUGGAUGCUGAUUUAAAGUUUUUUUUUUAGUCCAAAAUUCUUCACCUGUGUUGUAUUCGUUGUUUUUUGGUCAUUUUGUUUUUGUCUGUUAUACUUGUUUUUUGGACAUGAUAUUGAUCAUAGUAUUACAUUAAUGAUUUGUAGGAACAAUUUUUUAAAAUGUUUUUGAAGUUUGUUUCAAAUAUUUUGAAAGUAUAUUUAUAAAUCAUCAAUCAUGAUUUAUAUGUUUGUAUAUUGAACUUCGAUUAAACCUUCUAUUGUGCUGUGAUUUGAAUUGCUUUAAGGACUAAAUGAUUUCAUUUGUAUAGUAGUUGUUGAUCUUUUAAAGUCUUGUUUUUAACUACGAUAGUUCUUUAGUUGGGUGGGUAUUUAUUGUAUUUAUAACCCCUGAUCAUGUGUCUCAUUUUAUUGUAUUCUGCAUGGUUUUGGUUAUUCUACUGAAAUUUGUAUUUCACAAGUUAGUUUCAUUGUAUUUCACAAGUCAAAAAGACAGAACACAUGUAUGACAUCACCUAAAAGUGGAUGCUUUUAGCAACUUUAACAACAUAGUACGAGACAUUCUUUACAACUGAAGAAACAUGAGUACUAUUUUUUAAUAGAUAAUUGUUGAAGGA
rnacentral:lncRNA from 1 species